CACAGCUCUGUUCUACUACCUGCACCUUAUAAAGAUAUGGAAUGUUGGCCAAGAGGUGCUCCCAGAAUGAACCUAUCCCUAGACAUGGGAUCUUUUCACGGACCUAAUGGCCCUCCCGGAGAACAGAUGAUCCCUGCCUGGUCUCUCUGUGUCAUCCUCCUGGGCUAUGUCUUUGGAUUCCCAGUCCCCUUCAACAGCACUCAGAGGCCUGAGGAGUUGAUGCAGAGUCGGAAUGAGAGAGACAGCAACUCAAUAUUACCUAUACACAGGUAGAACGGUCCUCCACUCCUUAUGGAUAUAAGGGAAAGAAAACGUCCAUUGUAAGUAUG